rnacentral:rRNA from 1 species
AAUCUACCCGCAACGGCGGGAUAAUCCAUCGAAAGGUGAAGUAAUACCGGAUGGUAUACUGUUUCUACGGAGACAGUAUUAAAGGGGGCUUCGGCUUCCGGUUGAGGAGGAGUCUAUUUCCUAUUAGCUUGUUGGUGCGGUAACGGCGCACCAAGGCUGUGAUGGGUAGGGGGCCUUAGCGGGUGGCCCUCCACACUGGGACUGAGACACUGCCCAGGUUCCUACGGGAGGCUGCAAUCGAGAAUCCUCCGCAAUGGGCGAAAGCCUGACGGGGUGACGCCGCGUGACCGAUGAAGGCUCUUACGGGUCGUAAAGGUCUUACAGGGAGUAUGAAAUAUACUGGGGCUAAUAUCUCCAGUAUUUGACGUCAAUCUCAAAUGAAGUCACGGCUAAAUUUGUGCCAGCAGCCGCGGUAAGACAAAUGUGGCAAGCGUUGUUCGGAAUCACUGGGCAUAAAGGGCACGUAGGCGGCGUAGUAAGUUAACUGUGAAAUCCCCCGGCUCAACCGGGGAACUGCAGUUAAUACUGCUGUGCUAGAGUGCAGAAGAGGAGAGUGGAAUUCUAGGUGUAGCGGUGGAAUGCGAAGAUAUCUAGGAGAAGGCCGGUGGCGAAAGCGACUCUCUGGUCUGUUACUGACGCUGAGGUGCGAGAAGCGCAGGUAGCGAACGGGAUUAGAUACCCCGGUAGUCUGUGCCGUAAACGAUGGGCACUAGAUGGUGGAGGCGCCGAUAGCUUUCUCCGUCGCAGCUAAUACGUUAAGUGCCCCGCCUGGGGAGUAUGGCCGCAAGGUUAAAACUCAAAGGAAUUGACGGGGGCCCACACAAGCGGUGGAGGAUGUGGCUUAAUUCGAGGAUACCCGUAAAACCUUACCGAGGCUUGACAUGCAGGUGAUAGUGAAGUGAAAGCGGAACGACCCGAAUAGGGAGCCUGCACAGGUGCUGCAUGGCUGUCGACAGCUCGUGUCGUGAGAUGUUAGGUUAAGUCCUGUAACGAGCGAAACCCUUGUGCUUAAUUGCCAGCGCGUUAUGGCGGGGACCUUAAGCAGACUGCCCCGGCCAACGGGGAGCAAGGUGGGGAUGACGUCAAGUCAGCAUGGCCUUUAUGCCUCGGGCUGCACACGUCCUACAAUGGGCUGUACAAUGGG